UACGGUAGGGGGCAAGCGUUGUCCGGAUUUUAUUGGGCGUAAAGAGCGUGUAGGCGGCUUUACAGGUCCGUUGUGAAAAACCGUCGACGGCUCAACCUCGAGAACGCCGACUGGAAACCAUGUGGCUAGAGUCCGGAAGAGGAGAGUGGGAAUUCCUGUGUAGCGGUGAAAUGCGCAGAUAUCAGGAAGAACACCCGUGGCUAAGCGGCUCUCUAGUACGGUACUGAGCUGAGACGCGAAAGCGUGGGGGAGCAACAGGAU
rnacentral:rRNA from 1 species